rnacentral:rRNA from 1 species
UACGAAGGGGGCUAGCGUUGUUCGGAAUUACUGGGCGUAAAGCGCACGUAGGCGGAUUGUUAAGUCGGGGGUGAAAUCCUGAGGCUCAACCUCAGAACUGCCUUCGAUACUGGCAAUCUCGAGUCCGGAAGAGGUUGGUGGAACAGCUAGUGUAGAGGUGAAAUUCGUAGAUAUUCGCAAGAACACCAGUGGCGAAGGCGGCUCACUGGCCCGGAACUGACGCUGAGGUGCGAAAGCGUGGGGAGCAAACAGG